rnacentral:rRNA from 1 species
UGAGCAAUCUGCCCUUCUCAUCGGAAUAAGCGUUGGAAACGACGUCUAAUGCCGAAUACGACCUCCUUUCGCAUGAUCGGAGGUGGAAAGCUCCGGCGGAGAAGGAUGAGCUCGCGGCCUAUCAGCUUAGUUGGUGAGGUAAUAGCUCACCAAGGCGACGACGGGUAGCCGGCCUGAGAGGGUGACCGGCCACACUGGGACUGAGACACGGCCCAGACCUCCGUAGGGA